rnacentral:lncRNA from 13 species
GUUAGGAGCGGAUGGUAUAAAACAGGGGGCUGACGGGGGCUGGGCCUCAGUCCCUGGACCUGCACCAUCAUGGAAGCUGCUCUUUGGGUGUGCCUCAGUCUGCUCUGUCUGCAGGGCAGCUUUCUCCAGCUCACACGUGGUGCAGACUGCACUGGGACAUCACCGGUGGAAGACUGUGUUAAUGGGCAGACCACCGGAGGAAAGAAGGAUGGGCUUCUGCGGCUGAUUCCAUCUGCUCCAAGAGAGACCCAUACCCAGAAAAAGCCACAGAGGUGGAAGGAUGACAACAUACUGUCGGCCGUGCCGUUGGACAGACAGGAGAGAGAGUUGGGGAAGCACUCCAGCCUUCCUGGGUCCUUCUCAACUAAGGGCUUCCCCAACACACUCAUCCAAGUUGAGACAGAGCGGGCCAGGAGACACUUGGGCCAGUCUGGGACCAAGAAGAAGAACAAGCCUAAAUCCAGAGUGGGAUCUUUUUCUCUGCUCAGCAACAACCCCAGCGCCACCAUACAGGUAACCAGAGUACGGAGGCAGCUGCAGAAGGAGAAGAAGAAAGGGAAGCCAAGAGGACGAACAGGAGCGUACUCCGCUAUGGACGUCCCAGACAAACCUGAACCCUUGGGUCAAAGGCCCAAGAGGAGCCCACAGAAGAAGAAACAGACCAAGAGAAUUGUUUGUUCAUAA